AGAGUUUGAUUAUGGCUCAGGAUGAACGCUGGCGGCGUGCUUAACACAUGCAAGUCGAACGGAGUUUUUAAACGGAAGUUUUCGGAUGGAAGUUUAGAAACUUAGUGGCGGACGGGUGAGUAACGCGUGGGUAACCUGCCUCAUACAGGGGGAUAACAGUUAGAAAUGACUGCUAACACCGCAUAAUAUAGCGAAACCGCAUGAUUUUUGCUAUCAAAUAUUUAUAGGUAUGAGAUGGGCCCGCGUCUGAUUAGCUAGUUGGUGGGGUAAAAGCCUACCAAGGCGACGAUCAGUAGCCGGCUUGAGAGAGUGACCGGCCACAUUGGGACUGAGACACGGCCCAAACUCCUACGGGAGGCAGCAGUGGGGAAUAUUGGACAAUGGGGGAAACCCUGAUCCAGCCGACGCCGCGUGAGUGAAGAAGUAUUUCGGUAUGUAAAGCUCUAUCAGCAGGGAAGAUAAUGACAGUACCUGACUAAGAAGCCCCGGCUAACUACGUGCCAGCCGCGGC
rnacentral:rRNA from 1 species